UACGGAAGGCAGCAGUGGGGAAUAUUGCACAAUGGGCGAAAGCCUGAUGCAGCUAUGCCGCGUGUAUGAAGAAGGCCUUAGGGUUGUAAAGUACUUUCAUCGGGGAGGAAAAACAAAACUAAUAAUUUUAUUUCUUGACGUUACCCGAAAAAGAAGCACCGGCUAACUCCGUGCCAGCAGCCGCGGUAAUACGGAGGGUGCUAGCGUUAAUCAGAAUUACUGGGCGUAAAGAGCACGUAGGUGGUUUUUUAAGUCAGAUGUGAAAUCCCUGGGCUUAACCUAGGAACUGCAUUUUGAAACUGAAAUACUAGAGUAUCGUAGAGGGAGGUAGAAUUCUAGGUGUAGCGGUGAAAUGCGUAGAUAUCUGGAGGAAUACCUGUGGCGAAAGCGGCCUCCUAAACGAAUACUGACACUGAGGGUGCGAAAGCGUGGGGAGCAAACAGGGAUUAGAUACCCGU
rnacentral:rRNA from 1 species